UAAUUUCUAUGUUACAAUCCUAAAUCUACAAUAGUUCUCUAUAUAAAUGAAAAAUUUCCAAAAACAGGAGGUUUUUUAAAAAUUAUUUAAAAAGUGCAACCUAUUGAUAAAUUUUUUGAAAGAAUACUAAUCUAUUAACAAAAAUUCAUGUUAUACUAAUUUCUAAGUCAAACUAUUGAUGAAAUUUUGUGAGAGAAUACUCAUCUAUCAACAAAAUUUUGUGACAGAAUACUAAUUUCUAAGUCACAAUCCCAAAUCUACAAUAGUUCUCUAUAGAAAUAAAAUUUUUCCAAAAAUAGCAGAUUUCGUAAAAAUUAUUGAGAAAAUGCAACCUAUUAAUGAAAAAUUCUGAAAAAUACUCAUCUAUAAAAGAAAAUUCCUGUUAUCCUAAUUUCAAAGUCACAACCCUAAAUCUACAAUAGUCCUCUAUACAAAUGAAAACUUUCCAAAAUUAGCAGUUUUUGUAAAAAUAUAUUGAAAAAUGUAACCCAUUGAUGGAAAAUUAUUAAAGAAUACUCAUCUAUCAAAAAAAAAUCUUGUUAUCCUAAUUUCUAAUUCACAAUCUCAAAUCUACAACAGUUCUCUAUAAAAAUGAAAAAUUUCCAAAAAUAGCAGGUUUUGUAAAAAAUUGUUUUAAAAAUCCAAUCUAUGGAAGAAAAAAUCUGAAAGAACACUUAAAUAUCAACAAAAAUUCUUGUUAUCCUAAUUUAUAAGUGACAAUCCCCAAUUUACAAUAGUUCUCUAUAUAAAUGAAAAUUUCCAAAAAUAUGAGGUUUUUUAAAACUUAUUUAAAAACUGCAACCUAUUGAUGAAAUAUUUUUUAAAAAAAUACUAGGCCCAUCGAUUAACAAAAAUUCUUGUUAUACUAGUUUCUAAGUUACAAUCCUAAAUCUACAAUAGUUCUCUAUGUAAAUGAAAAAUUUCCAAAAACAUGAGCUUUUUUAAAAAUUAUUUAAAACGUACAACGUAUUGAUGAAAUUUUUUGAAAGAAUACUCAUCUAUUAACAAAAAUUCAUGUUAUACUAAUUCCUAAGUCAAACUAUUGAUGAAAUUUAGUGAGAGAAUACUCAUCUAUCAACAAAAUUCUAGUUAUCCUAAUUUCUAAGUCACAAUCCCAAAUCUACAAUAGUUCUAAAUAGAAAUAAAAACUUUCCAAAAAUAGCAGCUUUCGUAAAAACUAUUGAGAAAAUGCAACCUAUUAAUGAAAAAUUCUGAAAAAUACUCAUCUAUCAAAGAAAAAUCUUGUUAUCCUAAUUUCAAAGUCACAAACCCAAAUCUACAAUAGUACUCUAUACAAAUGAAAACUUUCCAAAAAUAGCAGUUUUAUGAAAAAAUAUAUUGAAAAAUGUAAGCCAUUGAUGGAAAAUUAUGAAAGAAUACUCAUCUAUCAAAACAAAUUCUUGUUAUCCUUAUUUCUAAGUCACAAUCUCAAAUCUACAACAGUUCUCUAUAAAAAUAAAAAUUUUCCAAAAAUAGCAGGUUUUGUAAAAAAUUGUUUUAAAAAUGCAAUCUAUGGAAGAAAAAAAUCUGAGAGAAUACUUAAAUAUCAACAAAAAUUCUUGUUAUCCUAAUUUCUAAGUGACAAUCCACAAUCUAAAUUAGUUGUCUAUUUAAAUGAAAACUUUCCAAAAAUAGAAGUUUUAUAAAAAAUUAUUUUAAAAAUGCAACCUACUGAUAAAGUUUUUUGAAAGAAUACUUAUAUAUCAAAGAAAAUUCUUGUUAUACUAAUUUCUAAGUGACAAUCCAAAUCUACAAUAGUUCUCUAUGUAAAUGAAAACUUUCCAAAAAUAAGAGGUUUUGUAAAAAUUAUUUAAAAAAUGCAACCUAUUGAUGAACAAUUAUGAAAGAAUACUCAUCUAUCAACGAAAAUUCUUGUUAUCCUAAUUUUAAAGUCACAACCCAUAGUUCUCUAUGUAAAUGAAAACUUUCCAAAAAUAAGAGGUUUUGUAAAAAUUAUUUAAAAAAUGCAACCUAUUGAUGAACAAUUAUGAAAGAAUACUCAUCUAUCAACGAAAAUUCUUGUUAUCCUAAUUUUAAAGUCACAACCCAUAGUUCUCUAUGUAAAUGAAAACUUUCCAAAAAUAAGAGGUUUUGUAAAAAUUAUUUAAAAAAUGCAACCUAUUGAUGAACAAUUAUGAAAGAAUACUCAUCUAUCAACGAAAAUUCUUGUUAUCCUAAUUUUAAAGUCACAACCCAUAGUUCUCUAUGUAAAUGAAAACUUUCCAAAAAUAAGAGGUUUUGUAAAAAUUAUUUAAAAAAUGCAACCUAUUGAUGAACAAUUAUGAAAGAAUACUCAUCUAUCAACGAAAAUUCUUGUUAUCCUAAUUUUAAAGUCACAACCCAUAGUUCUCUAUGUAAAUGAAAACUUUCCAAAAAUAAGAGGUUUUGUAAAAAUUAUUUAAAAAAUGCAACCUAUUGAUGAACAAUUAUGAAAGAAUACUCAUCUAUCAACGAAAAUUCUUGUUAUCCUAAUUUUAAAGUCACAACCCAUAGUUCUCUAUGUAAAUGAAAACUUUCCAAAAAUAAGAGGUUUUGUAAAAAUUAUUUAAAAAAUGCAACCUAUUGAUGAACAAUUAUGAAAGAAUACUCAUCUAUCAACGAAAAUUCUUGUUAUCCUAAUUUCUAAGCUCAUCUAUUAACAAAAAUUCUUGUUAUAUUAAUUUCUAAGUCAAACUAUUCAUGAAAUUUAGUGAGAAAAUACUCAUCUAUCAAUAAAAUUCUAGUUAUACUAAUUUCUAAGUCACAAUCCCAAAUAUACAAUAGUUCUCUAUAGAAAUAAAAAAAUUCCAAAAAUAACAGUUUUGGUAAAAAUUAUUGAGAAACUGCAACCUAUUAAUGAAAAAUUCUGAAAAAUACUCAUCUAUCAAAGAAAAUUCUUGGUAUCCUAAUUUCAAAGUCAGAACCCCAAAUCUACAAUAGUACUCUAUACAAAUGAACACUUUCCAAAAAUAGCAGUUUUUGUAAAAAUGUAUUGAAAAAUGUAACCCAUUGAUGGAAAAUUAUGAAAGAAUAUUCAUCUAUCAAAAAAAAUUCUUGUUAUCCUUAUUUCUAAGUCACAAUCCCAAAUCUACAACAGUUCUCUAUAAAAAAUGAAAAUUUUCCAAAAAUAGCAGGUUUUGUAAAAAAUUGUUUUAAAAAUGCAACCUAUGGAAGAAAAAAAUCUGAAAAAAUACUUAAAUAUCAACAAAAUCUGAAAGAAUACUCAUAUAUUAAAACAAAUUCUUGUUGUCCUUAUUUCUAAGUCACAAUCCCAAGUCUACAACAGUUCUCUAUACAUAUGAAAACUUUCCAAAAACAUCAGUUGUUGUAAAAAGUAUUUAAGAAAUGGAUUCUAUUGAAGAAAAAUCUGAAAUAAUACUUAUAUAUCAACAAAAAUUCUUGUUAUCCUAAUUUCUAAGUGACAGUCUCACAUCUACAAUAGUUCUCUAUAUAAAUCAAAAUUUCCAAAAAUUAGAGGUUUUUUAAAACUUAUUUAAGAAAUGCAACCUAUUGAUGAAAAAUUCUGAAAAAUAUCCAUCUAUUAACAAAAAUUCUUGUUAUACUAAUUUCUAUGUUACAAUCCUAAAUCUACAAUAGUUCUCUAUAUAAAUGAAAAAUUUCCAAAAACAGGAGGUUUUUUAAAAAUUAUUUAAAAAGUGCAACCUAUUGAUAAAUUUUUUGAAAGAAUACUAAUCUAUUAACAAAAAUUCAUGUUAUACUAAUUUCUAAGACAAACUAUUGAUGAAAUUUUGUGAGAGAAUACUCAUCUAUCAACAAAAUUUUGUGACAGAAUACUAAUUUCUAAGUCACAAUCCCAAAUCUACAAUAGUUCUCUAUAGAAAUAAAAUUUUUCCAAAAAUAGCAGAUUUCGUAAAAAUUAUUGAGAAAAUGCAACCUAUUAAUGAAAAAUUCUGAAAAAUACUCAUCUAUAAAAGAAAAUUCCUGUUAUCCUAAUUUCAAAGUCACAACCCUAAAUCUACAAUAGUCCUCUAUACAAAUGAAAACUUUCCAAAAUUAGCUGUUUUUGUAAAAAUAUAUUGAAAAAUGUAACCCAUUGAUGGAAAAUUAUUAAAGAAUACUCAUCUAUCAAAAAAAAUUCUUGUUAUCCUAAUUUCUAAUUCACAAUAUCAAAUCUACAACAGUUCUCUAUAAAAAUGAAAAAUUUCCAAAAAUAGCAGGUUUUGUAAAAAAUUGUUUUAAAAAUCCAAUCUAUGGAAGAAAAAAUCUGAAAGAACACUUAAAUAUCAACAAAAAUUCUUGUUAUCCUAAUUUAUAAGUGACAAUCCCCAAUUUACAAUAGUUCUCUAUAUAAAUGAAAAUUUCCAAAAAUAUGAGGUUUUUUAAAACUUAUUUAAAAAAUGCAACCUAUUGAUGAAAUAUUUUUUAAAAAAAUACUAGGCCCAUCGAUUAACAAAAAUUCUUGUUAUACUAGUUUCUAAGUUACAAUCCUAAAUCUACAAUAGUUCUCUAUGUAAAUGAAAAAUUUCCAAAAACAUGAGCUUUUUUAAAAAUUAUUUAAAACGUACAACGUAUUGAUGAAAUUUUUUGAAAGAAUACUCAUCUAUUAACAAAAAUUCAUGUUAUACUAAUUCCUAAGUCAAACUAUUGAUGAAAUUUAGUGAGAGAAUACUCAUCUAUCAACAAAAUUCUAGUUAUCCUAAUUUCUAAGUCACAAUCCCAAAUCUACAAUAGUUCUAAAUAGAAAUAAAAACUUUCCAAAAAUAGCAGCUUUCGUAAAAACUAUUGAGAAAAUGCAACCUAUUAAUGAAAAAUUCUGAAAAAUACUCAUCUAUCAAAGAAAAAUCUUGUUAUCCUAAUUUCAAAGUCACAAACCCAAAUCUACAAUAGUACUCUAUACAAAUGAAAACUUUCCAAAAAUAGCAGUUUUAUGAAAAAAUAUAUUGAAAAAUGUAAGCCAUUGAUGGAAAAUUAUGAAAGAAUACUCAUCUAUCAAAACAAAUUCUUGUUAUCCUUAUUUCUAAGUCACAAUCUCAAAUCUACAACAGUUCUCUAUAAAAAUAAAAAUUUUCCAAAAAUAGCAGGUUUUGUAAAAAAUUGUUUUAAAAAUGCAAUCUAUGGAAGAAAAAAAUCUGAGAGAAUACUUAAAUAUCAACAAAAAUUCUUGUUAUCCUAAUUUCUAAGUGACAAUCCACAAUCUAAAUUAGUUGUCUAUUUAAAUGAAAACUUUCCAAAAAUAGAAGUUUUAUAAAAAAUUAUUUUAAAAAUGCAACCUACUGAUAAAGUUUUUUGAAAGAAUACUUAUAUAUCAAAGAAAAUUCUUGUUAUACUAAUUUCUAAGUGACAAUCCAAAUCUACAAUAGUUCUCUAUGUAAAUGAAAACUUUCCAAAAAUAAGAGGUUUUUUAAAAAUUAUUUAAAAAAUGCAACCUAUUGAUGAACAAUUCUGAAAGAAUACUCAUCUAUCAACGAAAAUUCUUGUUAUCCUAAUUUUAAAGUCAUAACCCCAAAUCUAUAAUAGUACUCUAUAAAAAUGAAAACUUUCCAAAAAUAGCAGUUUUUGUAAAUACUAUUGAAAAAUAUAACUUAUUGAUGAAAAAUUCUGAAAGAAUACUCUUCUAUCAAAACAAAUUCUUGCUAUCCUUAUUUCUAAGUCACAAUCCCAAAUCUACAACAGUUCUCUAUAAUAAUGAAAAAUUUCCAAAAAUUAGCAGUAUUUGUAUGAAUUAUUUAAAAAAUGCAAUCUAUAUAGAAGAAAAAAUCUCAAAAAAUACUCAUCUAUCAACAAAAUUCUCGGUAUCCUAAUUUUUAAGUCACAAUCCCAAAUCUACAAUAGUUCUCUAUAGAAAUAAAAACUUUCCAAAAAUAGCAGCUUUCGUAAAAAUUAUUGAGAAAAUGCAACCUAUUAAUGAAAAAUUAUGAAAGAAUACUCAUCUAUUAACAAAAAUUCAUGUUAUACUAAUUUCUAAGUCAAACUAUUGAUGAAAUUUUGUGAGAGAAUACUCAUAUAUCAACAAAAUUCUAGUUAUCCAAAUUUCUAAGUCACAAUCCUAAAUCUACAAUAGUUCUCUAUAGAAAUAAAAACUUUCCAAAAUAGCUGCUUUCGUAAAAAUUAUUGAGAAAAUGCAACAUAUUAAUGAAAAAUUCUGAAAAAUACUAAUCUAUCAAAGAAAAUUCUUGUUUCUAAUUUCAAAGUCACAACCCCAAAUCUACAAUAGUACUCUAUACAAAUGAAAACUUUCCAAAAAUAGCAGUUUUUGUAAAAAUAUAUUGAAAAAUGUAACCCAUUGAUGCAAAAUUAUGAAAGAAUACUCAUCUAUCAAAAAUAAUUAUUCUUAUCCUUAUUUCUAAGUCACAAUCUCAAAUCUACAACAGUUCUCUAUAAAAAUAAAAAAUUUCCAAAAAUAGCACGUUUUGUAAAAAAAUGUUUUAAAAAUGCCGUCUAUUGAAGAAAAAAUCUGAAAGAGUACUUAAAUAUCAACAAAAAUUCUUGUUAUCUUAAUUUUUAAGUAACAAUCCACGAUCUACAGUAGUUCUCUAUUUAAAUAAAAAAUUUCCUAAAAUAUGAGUUUGAUUAAAAAUUAUUUUAAAAAUGCAACCUACUAAUAAAGUUUUUUGAAAGAAUACUUAUAUAUCAACGAAAAUUCUUGUUAUCCUAAUUUGUAAGUGACAAUCUCAAAUCUACAAUAGUUCUCUAUGUAAAUGUAAACUUUCCAAAAAUAAGAGGUUUUUUAAAAAUUAUUUAAAAAAUGCAACCUAUUGAUGAAAAAUUCUGAAAGAAUACUCGUCUAUCAACGAAAAUUCUUGUUAUCCUAAUUUUAAAGUCACAACCCCAAAUCUAUAAUAGUACUCCAUAAAAAUGAAAACUUUCCAAAAACAGCAGU
rnacentral:lncRNA from 1 species